GCCCAGGAUGCCGACGGCCUCCGGAGCCGUUUGCGCAGGUUCGAAUCCUGCCGGGGGCA
rnacentral:tRNA from 1 species